GUGGAGCGAAAUGAGAAAGAAGAACAGGCUCAGGGAGACGGACUAGCUGGGGUCUAGACACCUCUUGACCAGUUCCUUACUGGGCGAUCUAGAAGACACCCAACCUCUGGGGGAGGCAGCUAGAAUGACAGCAUGUCAAGUGGGAGAAGGCACAAAUGACAGAUGGACCAGAUCACAGUCGCUUCCAAUGCACAGUUGAUUAAUAGUCUUUGUUUUUAAUGUGUGUUGUGUGCCUCUGGCCCACGCUGUGCUGUAGGUCAAAAAGUGGAUACAUUUUAGCCCUGCCCUAAGAGCACCCCAAGAAUGAUGCUCUCUGUACCUUACAGACGAGGACACGGAGGCUCCAGCAAUGACAUGAACACCCCAUAGGAGGGUUUGCGGGCAGAGGUAGUUACCCAAGAAAGGCUUAACCGGAGGACUCAUCUGUGCCCUUCCCUGGUGGGCCUGAGAUCAGUGUCCUCAGCCCCUGCUUUUUCCCAGACACCUGCUCGUCCUGCCAUUCACCUCCAAGUCCCAUCAGGCCCCCAAAGCGUUCCAGAGAGCCGGGCACUGUUCAAGACUGUGAAGGCUUCACAUCAAAAGAAAGCUUAGAACACUGAUGAAAUAUAAGCCAGCAGCGUAUUGAUCAUCUGAAAUUAUUGUGCCCUUGCUGUGACGAAACUGGAGGCCAGAGAUGUUGAGUGGCUUGUCCAGGAUCACAGCUGGGUCCGGCUCGGUCUGUCUGCCUCUAGAGCCCCCCUCCCUCCCACUGCUGAGGAAGUUUGGCUCAACCUCCCUGCCUCUCUCUCGCCUGCUGUGUGACCCUGGGCGGAGGGGUUUUCACGGAUACUGCAGGAGAGGGACUCUUGGGCACAACCUAACAUUUCUGGCACAGACACGCUGGGAUGCUAGGAUUCCAGAUACGAAGAUUCUGUGUUGUAGAUGGAAUCUCUGGUUUUAACAUAACAUACUACUAAGUUAUCAUUAUUGUGGCUUUCUAUGAUUCAGUAAUUGUAGGAUUCUAGGAUUACAUCAGUCUACAAUUCCAUUAUCCUGUGAUUCCAAGAUCCUAGAAUUCUAAGUUCCCCUGAGAGCCUGGGCUCUAAAGAAUAGGAAAAUCCAGUUGGGAGGGUAAAGAGGCAGCUUUUCCAUCGACUUUUCUAACAAUGACAGAGCAAUGUGUGGUUUUCAUUGUGUUCGAAGGAAAGCAGUGGGCUUGGCUAAGCCACACCAGAGCCUCAGAGUAGAUGGCGAAUGGAUUCGUGGCGGCUGGGGAUUGGGGACGGGCACGCUGGAUGGCAGGAAUCUGGCAGCACAGGUGGGACCACCAGGGCCCCAGCAGGGUGGGGACAGUGAGGGCUGGAAGGGACCACAGAGGGCCGGUGUGUGGGCAGAGGGUGUGGCUCAAAGGAGUAGCAUGAGAGGGACCCUCGUGGCGAGGGAUAGUUCUGCACCUUGCUCGACUGCAGUGGCGGCUGUGUGAAUCACUGCAUGUGUGAUAAAAUGACACAGAGGCAUAUACACACGUUGUACCCGAGUGUGUAUCCUGGCUUUGAUAUUGUCCUCUAAUUAUCUAAGAUGUGACUGUCGAUGGAAACAGGGUGAGGGGCACACAGGACUUUUCUGUACUAUCUUUACAACUCCUUAUAAACCUAUAAUUAUUUCAAAAUAAAGGUUCUUAAAGACUCAAGUGGCCGUACUGUGCCAGUCUAUUUGCAGACUCUUUUCGGUCCUGUCGAUGUAUGUCUGUCCUACCUUCAGCUCCAGAAGUCUUCAAUCAAGGCUGGAGGCCACCAGAGGAUGCAUACUCUCCUGGGACCCAUGUCAAACAGAUUGUCCCACAGGCCAGGCAGCUGCUCGCCUGACAGGGGACCCAUUUGAACCUAAACUUCCACCGAAACCAACAACAAAAAACUAUCAAGUGCAGCUACACACCACUCUGGUGACAGUGGUCUUGUUACCACUGGUUUGGGUGCUUUCAUUCAUUUGCAGUCUGGAGGCCCAAACUCCCCAAACAAACUAUCGUUUCAGCCAAACAUGGUAUUAACAAAUCCUGAAGCCCACAUCAAACCCAAGUGGGCACCUGCUGGGAAAGGAAAUCCCAAUCCCACAUCCCAGGAGACACUGUCCUGGCCCAGAAGCUCAUCCCUGGAGAUGACAUCGCCUCAGAUGACAUCACCCCAACCCAAGACCUCAUCGUUGGAGCUGACCUCACCCCUGCACUGGAGACAACUUCAUCCGAGACACUCAGAAACCUCUAUACAUUCAAAUCCCUCCGGUAAUAACCAAGACCUCCUGCCUCUCACUCCACGCCGCCUGUCCAUUCUGGGUGGACCCCUUUUGCACUGAUCUCUGUGCUGGCCACACUGGUGCUGGGCAGCUUCUGGCCACUCAGCAGGGCUCUCAGCCUUCCCCAAAUGCCUCCUGUCUGUCUGCAUUCCACAUAGCUGGGCCUCCUAGUGCCCACCUCUCUGACUCCUGGACCUGGGUCACCAGACUUGUUGGGGUCCAAAGCAGAUGGCCACAGAACCUUUUGGCCACUUCUACCCUCCAUGUGAAGUGGUGUAUUCUCCUACAAGAAGAUGGGACAGAGCUUAUCUGAGAGGACUUCACCCAGGUCUACAGCAACUGCUCAUUUGUCCCAGCCCAUCUGUCUCUUGGAAAUGACCUGACUCAACUAUACAGCGAUUCUGUAAAGGUACCAGAGUCUGAACAUGAUGGAUAAUCCCACCCUACCCGUGCCACUCUUUUAAGGAGACUUACUGGGAACAAAGCUGGGGAAGCAGCUCUACUGGUGAAAUUUUAGCCACUGGGGCAGGCCAGAGGAGAAGACACUUUUUAGCCUAACAAGUCACCAAUACUCCUGAAAUCACUUAAUAGCUAUAUGUCAGUCAUGGGCAGGACUUCAAAGCACAUCUCCACCCAUGAUCUCAUUGAAAUCUUCCAACACAUUUUAACAAAAGCAGACAUGAAUUUUCCUACCUCAUGGAGACUGAGGCCCAGGGAUCUGUAGGAACUCGUGCACUGUCCUGCAACAAAUAUGGAUUAGUGAUGGGGAUAGGGAAAAACCAUGGGUGGAUGGACCCAGAUCAAAAUCACGGUCCUGGAUGGUUCUGAACUAGUCACUUCACCUUGCUGGGCCUCUUCCUCUGUAAAACGAGGGUAGUGAUGCCCAUGUCACAGGGCUGUUUGGUGGAUCAAAUCAGAAUAUGUUUGUAAAAUACUUGACUUGUUUCCUGGUUGCUUUGGAAGGACUGUCGUUCUGAGAACCCAGCUUCCCUCAGAGCAUCUACACUUGCUACUUAGGUAGCUGGCUAGAGUAGGAGGGGACUGGGAAACCCCUGUGCCUUCCAGUUCUGCUAAUGAGAACUCCUGGCAGCCAGGUGACCAGUGAUGUCACGCUGGAGGUCACCAGAUGCCCUCCUCUCACACUGGUCACGGCUGGGCCCCAGGACUUAGUUCUGUGCCCAGGGUGCAGCAGCCUCUUCUAAGGGCUGCCUCUCUCUCUCCAUGGCUGGGCCUUAGCAUCCUGCUCCAGCUGAUGUCACAAUCCAGCUUCAAGUCCCUGCAGAUUGUGGUCCCUCAGCCCUUGCAUAUAGAUCCUGGACCUGCUGUAGGGUCCAAGAUAAGUUUUUAAAACUCUCUGAGCCUCAGUUCCCUUACCAUUAGAAUAGGAAGUAUAAAACUUAGCUUCACGGUUGUGAGAUUUAAAUGAGAGAAUACAUGGAGAAUGACUUAGCUCAGUAACUGGAACAUUAUAAGCACUAAAGUGUUAUCAUUGACGACUGGGCACUCAGUGAAGUUUUGCUGAAUGGAUGAACAUCCCUGUACCCAUCCCUGUUAGGUCACCCUUUUACAGAAGAGGAAAACUGAAGGCCAGGCAAAGGAAAUGACUGGCUCGCACUAGUGGCUAGGAUCUUGAAUGUUCAGAAGUCAAAUCUCUGGCCCAAUCUUUCCCAGUCUUUGUUCCUUCCAAGGAGGCCCUUUCUGAUUGGAUUCUGGGGAUACUUUUGGUCUCUCUGCCCAUUUGACAAAUCCCAGAGAGUGUCUGGAUCCACCCACACAGCUGUGAAUGGACAGAGGAGAGUAGACACAAGUCCUGGUCCUGUUCCAGCUCGUCCCCAAUUCUGGAUGUUCCAGAAGCCACACCCUGUCCCCAAGCCUCUCUUGAAACCUUGGCAGCUUUAUUUGCAAAGGGGAGGAGAAGGGGGUCUGGGGUCAGCUAGGGAAUAACAGGGGGAGGAAGAAAGCAGGUCAGGGAGGGAUGGAGAACACCCCAUGUGACCUCAGCCAUAGCCCAUGAGCACUAGCUGUCCUCCCAGACUGUAGAUAGCCAGCGAGAACUGGCAUGCAGCCUCGACUCUGUUCUGAAUCUGCAGGGUGACCUUGGGUAAACCAUUUCUCCUUUCUGGGCCUCGGUUUCCCUGUCUGUGAAAUGGGGAGUUGAACUAGGGCAGGGGUCCUCUGUCCACUGGUAGGAAGCAGGGUUUCCAGAAUGAAGCCUGUGACCUCCCUGCCCUGUGGGCCCCCGCCCUCCUGCAAGUGUCCAGGAAUUUGGCCGUGGCAUUUCAUUUAUCAUCCUAUGGUUCACAGGUACUGUGGCCGGCAGGCUGAUUACUCAACAGGCUCAUUACACUCCUCAGUGACUAACAGACUCUUUUUCUGUUUGUGUUCUAAAGCCAUAGCAAUAACACUGGCUCUCAAUAACUCCACUGAAAUCACUAUUAUUCAGCCUGCCCCUACCUACAUGAUAAACAGAGCAGCAGAAACAGCCUUCCUUAGAAAAAGAGGCCUCUGCUUCGCUCACGGUGGGACAGUCUGUUUGGUAAUGAAGCUGUGUGUGUCGGGGGUGGGGUGGAUUUAUGAACUGUUGAGAAUCAUAGCAUUAGGUCACUUCUCUGGUGCCUUCCAGCUCUGACCUACACAUUGGACUUCACCAAAGGGAGGGGUGGAACAGAUACCAUCUUCCCUCUGAAAGUUUGAGUGAGGGGUUAAGAGCCUGGCUGGAAGUCAGAGAGUCUGGCUUUUGGUCCUGGCUCCACCACUUGCUAGCUGGGUGACCUGGGACAAGUCAGAUCCUCUCUCUGGGCUUGGCUUCCUACCUUAAAAAUGGGGAAAAUGAGAUGACCUCCCCCUGGAGGUGGGAGGUGGAGAGAAGGAAGUAAUGCACGAGAAGCACUUGGCACAGGGUGGGGCUCCAGUGCUGGGCGUGUUACUGUCACGUAAAUGCAGCCGAGCCCCUGGGCCACAGGCUGGAGCUCCACAGGAUGGGGAGGGAGGGACUGACACCAGGGGGGACUGGAGACUUGGUGGGGGGUUAAAACCUCCAGGAGGGCAAGUCAAGGGCUGGUCGCUGUCAAAGCCACCUGGCCUCUCCUUUCCUGGCCAGUUUUAUAUGUCAAAACUACAAGGAACAAAAUAAUAAUAUAAUAAUA